rnacentral:rRNA from 1 species
GAUGAACGCUAGCUACAGGCUUAACACAUGCAAGUCGAGGGGAAACGAUAGAGAAAGCUUGCUUUUUCUAGGCGUCGACCGGCGCACGGGUGAGUAACGCGUAUCCAACCUGCCCAUCACUUGGGGAUAACCUUGCGAAAGUAAGACUAAUACCCAAUGACGUCUCUAGAAGACAUCUGAAGGAGAUUAAAGAUUUAUCGGUGAUGGAUGGGGAUGCGUCUGAUUAGCUUGUUGGCGGGGUAACGGCCCACCAAGGCGACGAUCAGUAGGGGUUCUGAGAGGAAGGUCCCCCACAUUGGAACUGAGACACGGUCCAAACUCCUACGGGAGGCAGCAGUGAGGAAUAUUGGUCAAUGGACGAGAGUCUGAACCAGCCAAGUAGCGUGAAGGAUGACUGCCCUAUGGGUUGUAAACUUCUUUAUACGGGAAUAAAGUGAGGCAUGUGUGCCUUUUUGUAUGUACCGUAUGAAUAAGGAUCGGCUAACUCCGUGCCAGCAGCCGCG